rnacentral:siRNA from 1 species
GAUAACUGUUGUCAUGUCGUCGA